rnacentral:rRNA from 1 species
CCUACGGGAGGCAGCAGUGAGGAAUAUUGGUCAAUGGACGAGAGUCUGAACCAGCAAAGUAGCGUGAAGGAUGACUGCCCUCGGGGUUGUAAACUUCUUUUAUAUGGGAAUAAAACGUUCCACGUGUGGGAUUUUGUAUGUACCAUAUGAAUAAGGAUCGGCUAACUCCGUGCCAGCAGCCGCGGUAAUACGGAGGAUCCGAUCGUUAUCCGGAAUUAUUGGGUGUAAAGGGAGCGUAGGUGGGUUGUUAAGUCAGUUGUGAAAGUUUGCGGCUCAACCGUAAAAUUGCAGUUGAAACUGGCAGUCUUGAGUACAGUAGAGGUGGGCGGAAUUCGUGGUGUAGCGGUGAAAUGCUUAGAUAUCACGAAGAACUCCGAUUGCGAAGGCAGUUCACUGGACUGCAACUGACACUGAGGCUCGAAAGUGUGGGUAUCAAACAGGAUUAGAUACCCCUGUAGUC